UUUGACAUAUGUCUGACUUGACCACGUUGGGCAUUAUUUUGGUCCUAAGACAGCCCUGUGAGGUAGGUAGGCAAAGAUUAUUGUUGCUACUUUACAGGUAUGGAAACUGAGGGUCAGGAGGGUAAGUGACUUACACAAGGUCGCCAAGCUAAUGUGUGUCAAGGUGGUUCGCGGAGGUGAGGAAUGGAAGGGGGAUUUGUAAAGGGUCUCCUGAUUUUCAAGUGAAGGCUUUCUAGGGGGGUGCUCUUACUAUUUGGAGAAAUGACAUGUUAAUAAGAGAUAUCUGUGGGCAAAUACAUUUGAAAUAAGAAUAUGAUUCAUUUGCAAUCUUUCAAAAGAGGUUGUCAAAAUAAAUUCCAAGUCAACAUAUUUAAAAAUAUAUUUAUUGAGGUUUUCUAUGUGCCCGGUACUGGACCUGGUGAUCAUGCAUUUUCAGCAGACUUGCUGAAUGAACGCUACCCAGGAGCGACGCAAUGCCAUCACACAUCCUUCUUGGGAGCAACUCGAAAGCCUGCCUUUCGAGUUUACUUCUGUUACUCUCUCAGCUCAAGGCCUGAGUCAUUUCACUAAAUGAGUGUUCUGCCUUGGCCCUCUCCCAGUCAACAGCUGCAAGGUACCAGAUUGGCACGAAGCAGGGCCCUGUGCGAAGUGCUGGGGAAUGGGAGAUGAAUAAAGCAUGGCUUUUCUCCUUAAGGAUUGACUCCUCGUUAAGAAGACAUGAGUGGAAGGAACUUACAGUACCGUGGUUAGGCUUGUUUUUGUUCUUUGAGUCCUUGAUACUCAAAGGGCGCGAGGGAUCCCGUGAGAGUGAGUCCUUUGCAGUGGAGAGUGAAGAGAGCCCGACUGCUCAUUUGGAAGCUAAUUAACUGACAAGUCUUGGAGGAAAAGUUUGUUAUCACACUGAGAGCGCGGCUACCACCCAGGUCAAGAACUGGAAGCUGAGCAGCACCCAGAACUCUCCGACGUGCUCACUCCCAACAGUCCUCCUCCUCCUCCAAUGAAAACCCCCAUCUGACUUCUGACACCGUGGAUUUGUUUGGCCUGUUUUUUAACUUUAUCUAAAUGUAAUCGUACAGUAUGUGAGCUCUACCCUCUCAACUCCUGUCCCACGCUGAAGUGCUUAGCCUAAGACCACAAAAAGUGGAAGGGCAGUCUCAUUUUCUCUGACCACCCAAUAGAUGAGCAGCUAGGAGAGGAGGCGCGCUGGCUCGUGCCUUGCUUCUUUUAGGAAGAGGACAUUUGGGGUUCAGCAUUCUUUGCUCCCAAGUUUGAAUUAUGGUCCUUUAUGACUACUUGUAUUAGCUUCCUAUUGCUGCUGGAAUAAAAUACUGCAAAUUUAGUGUCUUA
rnacentral:lncRNA from 1 species